CCUACGGGAGGCAGCAGUGAGGAAUAUUGGUCAAUGGACGAGAGUCUGAACCAGCCACGUAGCGUGAAGGCUGACUGCCCUCUGGGUUGUAAACUUCUUUUAUAAAGGAAUAAAACGAGGCACGUGUGCCUUUUUGCAUGUACUUUAUGAAUAAGGAUCGGCUAACUCCGUGUCAGCAGCCGCGGUACUACGGAGGAUCCGAGCGUUAUGCGGAUUUAUUGGGUGUAAAGGGAGCGUAGAUGGGUUGUUAUGUCAGUUGUGAAAGUUUGCGGCUCAACCGUAAAAUUGCAAUUGAUACUGGCAGUCUUGAGUACAGUUGAGGUAGGCGGAAUUCGUGGUGUAGCGGUGAAAGGCUUAGAUAUCACGAAGAACCCCGAUUGCGAAGGCAGCUUACUAAACUGUGACUGACAUUGAUGCUCGAAAGUGUGGGUAUCAAACAGGAUUAGAUACCCUAGUAGUC
rnacentral:rRNA from 1 species